rnacentral:rRNA from 1 species
GACGAACGCUGGCGGCGUGCUUAACACAUGCAAGUCGAACGGUGAAGCUCCAGCUUGCUGGAGUGGAUCAGUGGCGAACGGGUGAGUAACACGUGAGCAACCUGCCCCUGACUCUGGAAUAAGCGCUGGAAACGGCGUCUAAUACUGGAUACGAGAAGGGUCCGCAUGGGCACUUUCUGGAAAGUUUUUCGGUUGGGGAUGGGCUCGCGGCCUAUCAGCUUGUUGGUGAGGUAAUGGCUCACCAAGGCGACGACGGGUAGCCGGCCUGAGAGGGCGACCGGCCACACUGGGACUGAGACACGGCCCAGACGCCUACGGGAGGCAGCAGUGGGGAAUAUUGCACAAGGGGCGAAAGCCUGAUGCAGCGACGCCGCGUGGGGGAUGACGGCCUUCGGGUUGUAAACCUCUUUCAGCAGGGAGGAAGCGAAAGUGACGGUACCUGCAGAAGAAGCACCGGCUAACUACGU